rnacentral:rRNA from 1 species
AGUAAAAGCAGCUUUCAUCCUACGACCCGGCACAGGUUUGGGCAGACCGUCGAGCAACGGACAGGUGAAGGACUCAUGGUUGAAGGUCCACUUGGAGCCCGACCACAUAAAGAUCCCACCGUUCUUUGAGUCUGUGUCCAUAUUCAAACGCAUACUGGAAAAAAGGCCUUGGCAAAAAACUUUUCGUCAUCUUAAUUGAAUCCGGCAGAAAGGGUCAUCCUGGGGAUCGGCCUCCACUUUCUGCCAUGGCGUAUGGAACCAAUGAACUAAUUCUUUGGUCGCCCAGUUGCCUCUUCCAAUGCUUUGUGUACUGUCAGGCGGAGAAGAAGAAUUUGGGAGUAUUUCACUUCCAAUACCUUGGGAGCUUCCCUUGCUGUACAAGGACAUUAAUGUACUUAAAUCCAUGCCAUCUCCUCUUUGAGAACUCAGGCCAUAGUAGCUCUGCAAGCUGCUCAUUGCAAACUCGGCCUAUUCCCUGUGUAGACUUGUCGCAAUCUAAUAAAUUCACAAUGUCCCUGUUUUGCUGAAUGUUCGGAGGCCACGCUCUGAAAAAAAACAGAGAAUAGGUUAGAACAGACUAUUAUAUUUACAUACCAUGUACAGUUGUACACCAACUUAAAUAGUCAAAACAUGGGUGAAGCGUCGUGAUGCAAAAAGCAAGGAAGGAAACACUAGACCCUAAACAGCGACAAUAUUAUGAACUGCUAAAAAUGAGUUGUCUUUAUCUGACAAAUAGUUUGGACUUUGAAAAUCAGCGUGAACAAGAAAACAGGUUGCAGUUAAAUAUGUAACUGACCAAAAAUCAACAACAAUGAAACUUAUGGACUCUGUGCUACAGCAUGGAAGAGAAAAAAACCAAAAACACAAGGAACACAGUAACAUUAGGAAUUCUUCUAGCUUAAUGCUCAUGUACAUACAGAUUGUGCUCUAUCUCUGUUGUUUUGAAUAAUGUUCAGAGCUCAGUUUCUUUGCACAGAUGUUCAGAAUUCAUACAAUAAUUUGCUACAGAAAAACAACACGUUUUUGAGAGAAUUAGCUCAUUCUCUUAACAAUGAAAGCUGCUGAUUUCCUUGCAAAUGUUC